GCUGGUAGUAAAGUGAACUGCGUUUUUCAUCCGCUCCACAAGGCGGCAGAAGCGCCUUUCAGAGACUUCGAACCCCCGACUGAUCAGAAGAAGUAGAAACCUGGGAAGAAAACACGACAGUUCGCGUCAAUAGUAAGAGAGGUGUUGAACGGAAGCAGAGCUCUGGAGCGUGAGGACAGACAGUGGCUGUAAUGAUGGACGUGUGCUGAAGGACGGGACUCAUUUUCAAUGAUGCCACCCUUCCUUUUUCGUGUUCAGACUGAAGUACGUUAAGGUGGAUCUGUUUUGUCUUUUGCGAAAGGAAGAAGACGAGCAUCAAGUGAUUUCCAGUGGAUGCCAUGACCUCCUCCGGGACAGCUGAAAGCAGCACAUCAUGCGCAAGCUGUGGAAUCGUUUGAAUCCUCUCUGUCGCGUCUUAAGCAUCCAAGUGCAAUGUUUCAAAUAACUGCCCUGCUCAAAGCACAAAUUAAAUGGAAAAAGACAUACAAACGCUGAA